rnacentral:rRNA from 1 species
GCCUGCCCAGUGAUUUAACGGCCGCGGUAUCCUAACCGUGCAAAGGUAGCAUAAUCACUUGUCCUCUAAAUAGGGACUAGAAUGAACGGCUAAAUGAGGACUUUACUGUCUCCUGCUGCCAGUCAAUGAAACUGAUCUCCCAGUCCAAAAGCUGGGAUAUUUGCAUAAGACAAAAAGACCCUGUGGAGCUUUAAACCAAAAAUAAAGUUUUUAGUUGGGGCGACUUCGGAACAAAAAAAACUUCCGAAAUAAUGGAAUUAAGGCCAACACGCCAAAUACUUGACCCAGUAACACUGACCAAUGAACCAAGUUACCCCAGGGAUAACAGCGCCAUCUUCUUUUAGAGUCCAUAUCGACAAGAAGGUUUACGACCUCGAUGUUGGAUCAGGACACCCCAAUAGUGCAACCGCUAUUAAAGGUUCGUUUGUUCAACGAUUAAAGUCCUAC